UUGUAAACUCCUGUUGCCCGGGACGAAAAGCUUCGACCUAAUACGAUCGAACUCUGACGGUACCGGGUGAGGAAGCCCCGGCUAACUCUGUGCCAGCAGCCGCGGUAAUACAUUAGGGGGCAAGCGUUGUUCGGAAUUACUGGGCGUAAAGGGCGCGUAAGCGGCCUGCUAAGUCGAACGUGAAAUCCCUGGGCUCAACCCAGGAACUGCGUCCGAUACUGGUUGGCUUGAAUUCUGGAGAGGGAUGCUGAAUUCCUGGUGUAACGGUGAAAUGCGUAGAUAUCUGGACGAACACCGGUGGCUAACGCGGAAUCCUGGACCGAUAUUGACGCUGAUGCACGAAAGCCAGGGGAGCAAACGGGAUUAGAUACCCCGGUAGUCCUGGCCCUAAACUAUGAAUGCUUGGUGUGGCGGGUAUCGAUCCCUGCCGUGCCGAAGCUAACACAUUAACCAUUCCGCCUGGGGAGUACAGUCACAAGGCUGAAACUCAGAGGAAUUGACGGGGGCCUGCAUAAACGGUGGACCAUGUGGUUUAAUUCGACGCGACGCGAAGAACCUUACCUAGGCUCGAACGGCAGAUGACAUCCUACUAAAGUAGGCUCCCGCAAGGGCAUCUGUCGAGGUGCUGCAUGGCUGUCGUCAGCUCGUGUCGUGAGAUGUUGGGUUAAGUCCCGCAACGAGCGCAACCCUUGUC
rnacentral:rRNA from 1 species